rnacentral:lncRNA from 1 species
UGAGCCUUGUGAAGGUCGGUAUGCAGUGAGCAGUGGGAAACACUGCUCAGUUUGAAGAGAUGCCGUGGGUUGGCAGGGCUAGGUAUUUAGGGCUUCAUUACGGGCUGGAUGCCUCUUUCGAAUCCUGCACUGAUGAGCUAUUCAGUGCGGAGCAGCGAGCGAGACAUGCCCUGAUAGCCAAGUUGCGUAGGAAGGGAACUGCUUCUGCCUAAAACAGCGAUCAAGUGCUUUGAAGUGCAAAUUAGAUCCAUUGAGCCAUAUGGAGUCCAGGUGUAGGGACCGCAGUUUAUUCUCCAGGUCGUUGUACGACCACCCGACGCGCAUGGGCGGUCCUGCUACUUCGAAAGGUCUCUACAGAAUCGCAUGGUCGAGCUGCAACGCACGUUUCUG